rnacentral:rRNA from 1 species
CCUACGGGAGGCUGCAGUGGGGGAUAUUGCACAAUGGGGGAAACCCGGAUGCAGCGACGCCGCGGGGGUGAAGAAGCGCCUCGGCGCGUAAAGCCCUGUCAGCAGGGAAGAAAAUGACGGUACCUGAAGAAGAAGCCCCGGCUAACUACGAGCCAGCAGCCGCGGUAAUACGUAGGGGGCAAGCGUUAUCCGGAUUUACUGGGUGUAAAGGGGGCGCAGACGGCGAUGCAAGCCAGGAGGGAAAGCCCGGGGCCCAACCCCGGGACUGCUCUGGGAACUGCGUGGCUAGAGUGCAGGAGGGGCAGGCGGAAGUCCUGGUGUAGCGGUGAAAUGCGUAGAUAUCAGGAGGAACACCGGUGGCGAAGGCGGCCUGCUGGACUGCAACUGACGUUGAGGCCCGAAAGCGUGGGGAGCAAACAGGAUUAGAUACCCUAGUAGUC